GGGCUGAUGAGCUCAGUCAGUUGAGCAUAGCGCUAACAACGCUAAGGUCACGGAUUCGAUUCCCAUUCAGUCCC
rfam:Apaloderma vittatum contig31792, whole genome shotgun sequence.